CUUUUAGGAGACACUCCAUCUUUAUAACAUUAAGAACAUAGGAAUGAGAAAAUGUGACGAAAUUCUGUAUAACAUGAAACCUACUCAGCCAAGGUAGCAAAUCUAAUGGGUGUCCCUGAAAACCAGCUGGCAGCAUCUGGCAGAGGUCCACUCACAAAAGUGCUUACGAGGCUGUGUGCACAGAAGAUUCCUGAACCAGCACCAGGGCUUUUGAUUCAGUAGACUUGGGUCGAAUUCCAGGAACAUCAGUUGUUAACGGCCACUCACAGUGAUUGCAGCCCUGCAGUAGAGACAAUGUUUCAAACUUGUGGGCUCCUUCAUCAAAAUCUUCAGUACCUUCCUUGUCUGUUGGAGAACCUGAUGGAGGAGUUUCCCAAAAUGGAAGCGUCUACAGGAGGAAAAUGUUGCAUUAAGGAGCUGUAAGAUUUAUGGGUGAUUUUUGAAAUGUAAUUUAAUUUAAGGAAGAACUGUUUUGGACCAGCAUUAAGUGAAAAAAGAAAAUAUCCAGCCUUGAAGCAGUUACUGUCCAGUCACUGAAGCAUCAGAAAUGAUUACAAGCAACCCAGAGACAUUUAUAAUGAAAGCCAUCUUUAACCAACUCUAUAAAUCUACAGCAUUGGAGCCCUGCAUCUCCCAUCAUCAAGUGAGUCAUCCUUGGCCUUGAUCGUGACCAUCCCAUCUUCAUUCAGUGUGUGGAAUACUCAGCUCAGAGCUCAUUCUUGCUUUCCAGCUCUGCUCACCCUGGAAGCUAACAACUCUUUUCCUUCUGCUCCUGUCGUGGCUGACUCUUUCCAUAGCUUCCUUGGAUGUAUUAAAUUCUUCAUGUAGACUUCA